rnacentral:rRNA from 1 species
UACGUAGGGCGCAAGCGUUGUCCGGAAUUAUUGGGCGUAAAGAGCUCGUAGGCGGUUUGUCGCGUCUGCUGUGAAAACUCGAGGCUCAACCUCGGGCUUGCAGUGGGUACGGGCAGACUAGAGUGCGGUAGGGGAGACUGGAAUUCCUGGUGUAGCGGUGGAAGUGCGCAGAUAUCGAGGAGGAACACCUGCGGCGAAGGCGGGUUGCUGGGCCGGACACUGACGCUGGAGGCGACGAAAGCUAGGGGAGCGAACGGG